CCCUCUUUCUCUACCUCCCUCCCUCUCUUCUCUAGUCAUCAUCUUCUUGCCAACUCAUUGACUCACAUUGGAGCAUUUGCUGAAGCUAAGCAAAAUAAGAGAAAAGCAUACAAUAUCUAUAGGACUAAAUUUGGCCCAGAUCAUGCACGUACUGUUCAGUCUUAUAAAAAACGUGAGGUAUAUCACUGAAAAGCAAGUCUCUUAUGACCAGACUGAGAAGCAACUGAUGGUGAGACUAGACCUGUAGGAAGAGGAACGGCUACACGUAAUAGAGAAGCAACUGAUGGUGAUACUAGAGCUGUAAGAAGAGGAACAGCUACACGUAAUAGAGAGGCAACUGAUGGUGAUACUAGAGCUGUAAGAAGAGAAACAGCUACACGUAAUAAUGCAGAGAUAGCCGUUACAGUUGAUGGUACAUUAAAGGUCUUCCAGUCCAUUCUCAUUGACUUAAUUGCAGACUUCUUACUAGCUCUUGUUGUUCACAGAGACUCGUGGCAGAUAUAUGAUGCUAUUGUAAUUCAUCCUUGUGAGCCAGGAGUAACUGAAUGGAUCAAUGUCUACAACCUAAAAUGGUGCGUCUUGUAGUCACGGAUGCUUGUGUUACAGAAAAUUGGCUACUGGCAAGGACAACCUCAGCCUGACAUGUGUUAAUCAUUUGAUUGUUGACUGUUGAGUUGGGGGACUACUGUUUGUUAUCCAUUGUACCUGUUGAAUGGACACAAUGCAGUAUCAGAACUUACUUGUUCAAGUAAUUAGGUAAUUUUAUCUCCCUUCUCUCAUUCCAGACUUGGUUGCAAUGGAAGUUGAUGUUCUCGUUUUCCUGGUGUAUGGCAGCUUAAGUGAAGCAUGGAUUUCAACAAAUAAGCGAGUAGGAAACUUGCCAUUAUUGAUUCUUCCAGAUAGCACUGCUAUUUUUCCAUUACUAA
rnacentral:lncRNA from 1 species